rnacentral:lncRNA from 1 species
UAAAAACUUGAGCCCACAGUGUAGACACACUGGUUCCAAAGACCCCUCAGGAUGUGCCUCCCUUCUCAGAUCUGGGCUUUCCCUGUUCCUAAGCAUCACCUGGGGGGAUCACUCUGGGUCCUCAUCUCCAGCCACAUGUUCACUCCUCACGUGGGCCUCCCUAACUGUCCCCCUCAGGGCAAGCCCUUCCUCCCCACUUCCAGAAAGCUGCUCGUUCCCUGGCCAUCCCACACCUCUGACCUCGUGCCACUUCCGGGGCCUGUUGGCUUUAACAACUUAGUUUCCUCCCUACCUCGCAACCCCCUCUGUCUAGAGUGCUCACCUCCCUCCCAGCCUCUGUCUCAUACUAUUUUUUCUUUCCUCUCAGUACCAAGCGCUGGGACAAGCCAGUCUGUACUCAAUGCCUGUGGGAUAAUAGACGGAGGAAUCUGGAGUUUGGUUGGGUGAUUAGCUUUGGAAUUGAUGGGUCCCAGGGAGCUAUCUAAAGUUUUCAGUCACAUGAGGGCAUGCUCACAGAUCUGUGAAAAGAUCUGUUGGCUCAGAGAACUAAGAGAUGAAUAAAUGUUAGUCCAAUGGCCUCAUCAUGAGAUGAGAGGUCAAGAGUUUUGAGUUUCCAGAGGGAGAAGCUACUAUUCUAGGCAGCUUGUAUGAACUAACUCGUUUAUUCCUCACAGCCAUUGUAGGAAAUAAUCUAACCUCAUAAACCCCAUUUUAGAGAUGAGGAAACAGGCUUAGAGAAUUUGACGUAAACUCAAGACCGAAAAUCUAGGAACAAGAAAAGCCUGGAUUUGAACCAAGCUAUCUGAUGCCAGUGUUUUAACUCUCAACCAUUGUACUACUUUACCUCCUCAUGACCUUUUUUUUUUUUUUCUUGUGAGAUGGAGUCUCGCUCUGUCGCCCAGGCUCUGGAGUGCAGUGGCACGAUCUCAGCUCACUGCAAGCUCCGCCUCCCGGGUUCACGCCAUUCUCCUGCCUCAGCCUCCCGAGUAGCUGGGACUACAGGCGCCCACCACCAUGCCUGGCUAAUUUUUUGUAUUUUUAGUAGAGACGGGGUUUCACCGUGUUGGCCAGGAUGGUCUCGAUCUCCUGACCUCGUGAUCCCCCCCCCUCGGCCUCCCAAAGUGCCCAUGACCUUUUUAUUGUUGGGCAGUGAAAGCCAUGGUGAAAUGAAGAAUGUCCUACUGUCAUGUGAUGUGAUCAGAAAACAUACUGCCCAGAGUCCCCUGCCCCCACCCCCAAAACCAGUACUUGAUCCAUCCUUUGACUGUUGUGGCGAUUGGCACAAAGGUUGGGCACAGUAGUAGUUAGGCUCAUGGGCUCUGGAGCCAACCUACCUGGAUGCUACACAUCCCAGCUCUGCCCCUCGCUAGUUUGGUGGCAAGCAACUUAACCUCUCUGCCUUAAUUUCUCCAGCAGCACAAUGGGAAUAAUAAUAGAUCUCGCCUUGUGGCUCCUUUGCAGAUUACAUGCGUUAAUUAUGUAAAGUCAAGCAUUAGAAUGGUGGCUGUCCACCAUGAGUACAACACAAAUGCUCGUUCUUAAUGAUUCAACAAACAUGGAAUUUCAUUAAAUCUGAAAUAAAGGUAUUUUGAGAAAUUG